CGGCGUUUAUCGGCGCAAGACUUUUGUCUAUCUUGAGUUUCUUUGAUUCUUUGUUUGAUGUGGUCGACUUUCUCAAUCAUCUGUUGGACCAGUUCAGGACCUAACAACAUUCUUUCACCCACUUCAUCUUAGUAAAGUGGUGAACUACCUUAAUUGUUUCGUUUGUCCUAAGUCACCUUCUCAGAUUUGACUAGGAAAUUCUAACAUCAAACUUUUCUCAUCAUCUUGGUAACUUUCACUUAAAGAUUAAUGGCACUCCUUCUGCCAUGUAAACUCAUUUUCUCAUUUCCAAAUGAUUAUUUAAUGGGUUUCUAAGUUUCGAUUGUGGUGGUGUUCCAACUUUAUUCUUGCUGUAGCUUCUGGCACUUUAGCCAAAGCAUUCACUCUCUUAACUUGAGCCUACUAGCCUUGGGGUUGGGUUAUACCUUAAGUUUAGUUCUAGUGCUUUCCUUCCAUUUCCUUUUUCUUUACCU
rnacentral:lncRNA from 1 species